UACGUAGGGGGCUAGCGUUGUCCGGAAUCAUUGGGCGUAAAGCGCGUGUAGGCGGUCCGGUAAGUCCGCUGUGAAAGUCGGGGGCUCAACCCUCGGAUGCCGGUGGAUACCGUCGGGCUUGAGUACGGAAGAGGCGAGUGGAAUUCCUGGUGUAGCGGUGAAAUGCGCAGAUAUCAGGAGGAACACCAAUUGCGAAGGCAGCUCGCUGGGACGUUACUGACGCUGAGACGCGAAAGCGUGGGGAGCAAACAGG
rnacentral:rRNA from 1 species